AUGGAGACUGCCGCUGCCCCCGUCUCCCCUGCUCCCCGCACAGUCGAGGACAUCUUUAAGGACUUUUCCAACCGCCGCAGUGCACUCGUCCGCGCUCUCACCGUCGAUGUGGAAGACUUCUACAGGUACUGCGACCAAGAGAAGGAGAAUUCGUGUCUAUACGGACACCCCAACGGUAGUUGGGAGGUCGCGCUGCCGGCGGAGGAGGUGCCGCCGGAGAUGCCGGAGCCGGCGCUAGGGAUCAACUUCGCCAGGGAUGGGAUGCAUCGCCGCGACUGGCUCUCCCUCGUCGCCGUCCACUCGGACUCGUGGCUGCUCUCCGUUGCCUUCUUCUUUGGCGCGCGUCUCAAUGCAAACGAGAGGUACGGUUCUGCCCCAGGCUCAACAUUUUUUGAAAAAUAG
rnacentral:rRNA from 1 species